GUUCCUUCUCAGUUCAUCCAAGUCACCAGCAGCGUGCUCCUUGUGCUGCGUAGAGCUCUCUUGUGAUCCGCAAGAAGCAGCACCGCCGCCGGAGUAUCGCCAACCUUAGUCCCUGCUCAAAGCUUUAGUUCCGCGCCCAAGUCUGCCUCUUCCCGACCCCAAGCUUUCCUUUCAGGAAGAAGGUGAGUGCCGACCCUAAGUCCGCCUCGACCGACCCCUCCUAUCCGCCCGACCCUAGUUCCGUCUCGUCCGACCCUGUUUGUUCGCCGACCCUUGUCCGCCUCGC
rnacentral:lncRNA from 1 species